rnacentral:tRNA from 1 species
AAUCUUAUAUUUUAAGUAAAAUUUUAAAUUGCAAAUUUAAAGAAGUAUGAUUUAAUAAUACUAAGAUUU